rnacentral:tRNA from 1 species
GCGCCCAUAGCUCAGUGGAUAGAGCAUUUCGGUUCUAACGAAGGGGUCGGGGGUUCGAAUCCCUCUGGGCGCG